rfam:Camelus ferus unplaced genomic scaffold scaffold2523, whole genome shotgun sequence.
GAGGGUAUAGCUUAGUGGCAGAGCAUGUGCUUAGCAUGCAUGAGGUUCUGGAUUCAAUCCCCAGGACCUCCA